UACGAGGGGAGCAAGCGUUGUUCGGAAUCAUUGGGCGUAAAGGGCGCGUAGGCGGCAGUACAAGUCUGGGGUGAAAGCCCUCGGCUCAACCGAGGAAUUGCCUUGGAAACUGUACAGCUUGAGUAUUGGAGAGGAAAGCGGAAUUCCCAGUGUAGCGGUGAAAUGCGUAGAUAUUGGGAGGAACACCGGUGGCGAAGGCGGCUUUCUGGACAAUCACUGACGCUGAGGCGCGAAAGCCAGGGGAGCAAACGGG
rnacentral:rRNA from 1 species